CAGUCGCCGCGGGAAUACGUAGGUGGCAAGCGUUGUCCGGAAUUAUCGGGCGUAAAGGGCUCGCAGGCGGUUUCUUAAGUCUGAUGUGAAAGCCCCCGGCUCAACCGGGGAGGGUCAUUGGAAACUGGGAAACUUGAGUGCAGAAGAGGAGAGUGGAAUUCCACGUGCAGCGGUGAAAUGCGUAGAGAUGUGGAGGAACACCAGUGGCGAAGGCGACUCUCUGGUCUGUAACUGACGCUGAGGAGCGAAAGCGUGGGGAGCGAACAGGAUUAGAUACCCGCGUAGUCCCUGUCUCUUAUAC
rnacentral:rRNA from 1 species